ensembl:lncRNA
UCCCAGAAUGCCUAGCGUGUUCUCAGCUGUGCGACUCAGGCUGGGCAGAGCUUGCAUGCCUUUCCUUAAACAGCAUUAGAAGUUACAUGACCAUCUACUGUAGACAGAAAUAAACCAGAAGGGCAGUACCACAGGAUAAUAACAAAAAAGGAGAGUCCAGCUCCAGUGCAUCACUGAUGCAGAGAAUGUCAGACAUGUUUUCCAGGUGGUACGAGGAAGCGCAGAAUAACAGAGAUCAAUCCCACUCACGCACAAGAAGUACCACUUCUGAACCAGCACAAGUUGAGCCUAGUGCAGAGACAGUGACCCAUGCACAAGACACACAGGGGCGGACUUACCCAUUAGGCAAAGACAGGGAUUCCGCUUCCUCUGUGUCUGUCAGCAGUGCCUCCGCAGAGCUUGUUCUUAGUCUGCACUACAGUCCAGAAGGCUCCUCCACCAGCACCAUGACACUGAACCUCACCGGUCAUUGGACUGAUGCUGGGUCGAGCUGUGGGCGUCCCAAUAGCACAGGUAUCAGUGAACAGGAAGGCAGCUCUCCAGAACCAUGCUCAGGACCAGCUGAUGUUAGGCCUCGUGGAAAUGAAAAGCGUGCAUGUCGCACUGCGGUCAACUUUACAGUCAAGUUUGUGAACUUGUGUCAACAGCUGAAGACACAAACAGACAAAACAGCACAUCUGGAGAGCCAACAGCAGAUCAGGAUGACAGUAGUGAGGAGACCAACCACACAUCCUCAACAAACAACAAUCCUCCACUCACACAGAGGUUCAUCUUAUUAAAGCUUUAGUUUCAGACGGCAAAUAAACUCCUUCAGGGUGAUACUAGCCUUGUGAUCAUCCUACCAGGUUUUAUUUUGUACAGUAAGCCUGUCAUUAUCACAUUAAUUUCACAAUGCUGUUGUAAUUUACCACUCACUUUUUUAAUUUUUUGGUCUGCUGCUUUCAGAUUAAAUUUCAGAGGAUCAGUGAUCGGUGAACGGGUUCUGAAGUGAAAAAUAUAUUGUACAUACACUAUUGCUCAAAAGUUUUUGAAAGAAUAUUAUUAAACAAAUAUGUAAUCAUUAAAAAAAUACAGCAAAUCAUAUAAUAAAUACAUAUAAAUAAUUAUAAAAUACAGCAAAACCUUUUAUAUUGUGUAAUAUUAAUACAAUUUAAAGUAACUGUCUAUUGUAAUAUAUUUUAAAAUUGUCUUUUUUUUUUUCCUGUGAUGCAAAGCUGAAUUUGUCUAUAGAUGGCAAGAAAUCUUUUGCGAUGUAUUAUAUACACACUAAAGUUCAAAACGUUGGGGAAUUCUUUUAUUCAGCAAGGCUGCAUUAAACUGAUCAAAAGUGACAAUAAAGACAAUUUAACUAGUUACACUAAAAUAUUAAGUAGCACAACUGUUUUCAACAUUAAUAAUAACAAUAAAAAUGUUUCUUGAGCAGCAAAAUCAGCAUAUUAGAAUGAUUUCUGAAGGAUCAUGUGACACUGAAGACUGAAUAUAUAUAUAUAUAUAUAUAGGUUCCAUCCAAAUUUUCUGCUUUAAAUGGGUCAUAUGAUGUUGCUCAAAAGAACAUUAUUUUGUGUAUAUGGUGUAAUGAAAUGUGUUUAUGCGGUUUAAGGUUAAAAAAAAACAGAUUAUUUUCCACCCACUGUACAUUAUUGUUUCUCCUCUAUGCCCCUCCUUUCUGAAACGUGUAGUUUUUUACAAAGCUCAUCGUUCUGAAAAGUGAGGUUCAAGCAUGUUACGGAAAUGUUAUGCCCCUUGCCAUACUGUGAUGUGUGUCUUGGUAAGAACACCGGCGCAACAAGAUAAAAACAAUAAAACCCAUUACAAACAAGCCAUUUUUUUUGCAUCCAGUGGGGACAUAAUUACAGAUUAUAAUGAUUUAUACUGUGUUUUUACGUGUUGCGUUGAAUCGCACCGCGUAAACAUAAAAUCAUGUCUGCACUUGUGAUUGGAGAAACGACAAACAACAAGCGCUACUCUGCUCAAAACUCGUGUUUGAAUCGUCCAUGGCAAAUUCUUUAAAUAUGAAAAACGUACUUACAGACUGUGAGUCAGAAGUGCUGGCAUUGUAGUCUUCUCUCUCAGGAUCAGGAAACAGUCCUCCAUAAAAUGCGCUGCACUCAUCUGAAUAUUUGGGUUAGACUGUUCUGGAACAGUGUUGUAAAUACAAUUUAACCACUGAUUGCUAGUUGUAUCCUCUUUUGGAAGGCCAAACUAACUAUUUUCGCUUUCACAACGAAACAGCCUCUCCACAACAUGGCGCCGGUGGCAACAGUGAGAAUAAAAGUUACACCUUCUUUCUUUGCGUAAACAUUUGGGUGGCGUUAUGCAAAUUUUCCCACAUCAUGACUUAGACAUGUAGGGGUGUGUUUAAACGAGAAUAUCGCUUUUGGUUUGAGACUUUGGUCUUUGCAACUUUAGGGAUCUUAUCUAUUCACAAACAGCUUGUAACACUCCGAAGAGAAAGGAAAAAUUGAAAUCACAUCAUAUGACCCCUUUAAGGCAUCUCAUAUGUUCUGGAUUGCACACUGAUUUUCUGUAUUUCUUUAGACCAACGUGGCGUGUUUUGGGGCUAAUAACUUUGUGUUGAGCGGAUCAGACUGUGGCCAUAUCUUCAUAUGGGACAGACACACAGGAGAGCAUGUGAUGCUGAAGUAAGCUUACAAUCAAGUCAUCAACUGUCUGCAGCCUCACCCAUAUGAGCCAUGUGAGUUCAUCCAGUGUUUUUGUCCUAACAUGGAAUUGAAAUUGGGCUUUUGCACAAGUCUUUUAGACAUUUUGCCAAGCAGGCAUGUUGUAAUGGAUUGAGGAAGGUUUUAAAAAAGGUCACAAGUUUAAAUCCUUUCCAUUUUUCGGUGAAAUUGCAUUUUAUGUGCUUCAGUUUGUUACAAUCCAUGUUCUCUGAUUGCAUAAUGAAUUCAUAAUUUUAGUUUGGCUAUCAUAGUACUUGCCUCCUCUGGAAUUGAUUAUGAUAUUAAAAUCUGGUCGCCCAUGGAGAAGUCUCCAUCAUUUAACAGAGUGUUGGCAGAAGGGGUGAGUGCAAUCUUAGUUUGUUCAUUUAUUACCCUAUUCUUCUCUAAUUCUGUCUGCCAGUAUGGUUGCAUGCAGUUAAAGAUCAUAAAUUAUCUAAAUUCAGUCAUGGACACCAUCUUGUUGUUAGUGGGCUGUGAUUUGCGCAGAGUAAAUUGUCUGUCUCCCUCUGCAGGUAAUUCUGGGCAAUAAGCAGAUGCUUGAAGAGUCCAGAAAUACAACCACAGAAUGCUGGCGUCUCUCAGCCACAAUAGAACAGAUCGUUUUGAAGGAAAUCGAUCAGACGGCUCUGGACAGGAGAAUGAUGAAUGAAUGAGUUUAUUACCAGGAACAGUAAGAUUGCAUAUGAAUAGUAUGGAAUAUUGUUUUUUUUUUUUUCAAUUCUGAGUAUAUAUCACCUUUAUCUUUUUAAACUCUGAAUUACAAGAAACAAACUCAAAAUUGCG